CUGGGUGAGUAUCGCAAAAACAGAAACAUAUAUAUAUAUAUAUAUAUAUCAUGUAACUAUAUAGAUCUUUAUGCAGAUUUUUUUUGUAAUCACAAUAAGUUGUCCAUUCCCUGAAAAAUCUGAAUUUACAGUAUAUAGAAGUGGUCUUACCAUUUAGGCCUUGUUGUAUUCUGUUUAUCUUGUUUUGCGCUCAUUUCUAUUGUAACUGUUUAUAUUUUUCAUUAUUUUUCUAUAUUUCUUGUCCUAUAAAACAUAAAAAGGGUAAAAACUAUUAUAAAACAUCAGUUUGUGUUUUUCUUUAUAUUCAGUUAUAUUUAAAAAGAAUGGAAUAUUUGUGCUAUUUCAUUUCACAAACUUUUUGCCAGUCAUGACUUUCAAAGACUUUCACCCUGGUCAAUAGUUUAAAAAACAAACAUUCCCAUACUUUUUCUUUGUGUUCGUACUAAUUUUUCAUUUGACAACAAAGACAUGAUUCAACUAUUCUUCUAAAAUUUGUUUCGCUUGACUACGUUAAACUCUGAAAUAUUGUUAACAGUAUAAUCUGUAUGUGUCUCACUUGUCAAAAUUUCAAAUUAAUAUAUAAAUAACCAAUAAAAAUGCUAUGCAUGGCUCAGCUUGAUACAAACGUACAGGUUGAACCCAGAACAGUUGGGGCAAGUAUGGACACAACAUUCAAGCUCGAUAAACUCUGAAUUUUAAAUUUGGAUUGUGAUUCAAUAGUUGAUGCAGCAUAGGUUUCUGACACAGAAUGAAUGCGGUCCAAGUACUUAAAAAUUUUAAAUUGACAAUUAACCUCUAAAAUGGUCCAAUAUUCAAAAUCUCAAUACAUGGUUAGAUGCAGCAUAUCAAC
rnacentral:lncRNA from 1 species